UCUGGGGUAGAACUUAGUGUAGAAAAUGUAGAAGGUAAGGGAGUGAUUUUAGUAGUCCAGAUGUGCAGUAAAGGCAAAGAGUUUUAUCAAAUGAGCUUGAUGUGAACAUGCCAGUGUCAUGAGGAUACCACUGUACAGUCUCCACACUGUAUCUGUGAACAUCAGGGUGAUCUCUACAAAACAGCAAUCAAAAUUUACAUUAACUGACUAAAACAAAAGUUAACAGAAGACUUCUGCAACCCUAUGCAGAUACAACCAUGAUGCUUUUGGAUUCCUUAAGAUGAAGGUUUGGGACCUUAAAACAGUUGUGGUGCUAUCUGAAGGAAUGAGAACACAAAGAAGGAAAGUCUUAAGUGCCAGCUCUGGCAUUAAAACAGCUGCAAAAAUACAAGAACUAUAGUGCCU
rnacentral:lncRNA from 1 species